CAAUACUAGUGGCAGACGGGUGAGUAACAUGUAGGUAUCUGCCCUUUGGCCUGGAAUAACACGAGGAAACUUGUGCUAAUACCGGAUAAGUCUUUACGGAGAAAGCUUUAUGCACCAUUGGAUGAGCCUGCACUUGAUUAGUUUGUUGGUGGGGUAAUGGCCUACCAAGACUGUGAUCAAUAGCUGAUUUGAGAGGAUGAUCAGCCACAUUGGGACUGAGACACGGCCCAAACUCCUACGGGAGGCAGCAGUGGGGAAUCUUGCACAAUGGAGGAAACUCUGAUGCAGCGAUGCCGCGUGAGUGAAGAAGGCCUUUGGGUUGUAAAGCUCUUUCGUCGGGGAAGAAAAUGACUGUACCCGAAUAAGAAGGUCCGGCUAACUUCGUGCCAGCAGCCGCGGUAAUACGAAGGGACCUAGCGUAGUUCGGAAUUACUGGGCUUAAAGAGUUCGUAGGUGGUUGAAAAAGUUGGUGGUGAAAUCCCAGAGCUUAACUCUGGAACUGCCAUCAAAACUUUUCAGCUAGAGUAUGAUAGAGGAAAGCAGAAUUUCUAGUGUAGAGGUGAAAUUCGUAGAUAUUAGAAAGAAUACCAAUUGCGAAGGCAGCUUUCUGGAUCAUUACUGACACUGAGGAACGAAAGCAUGGGUAGCGAAGAGGAUUAGAUACCCUCGUAGUCCAUGCCGUAAACGAUGUGUGUUAGACGUUGGAAAUUUAUUUUCAGUGUCGCAGCGAAAGCGAUAAACACACCGCCUGGG
rnacentral:rRNA from 1 species